CAUCUAGGCGGUCAAUCAAGUCGAAGGUGAAAACUUGUGGCUCAACCAUAAGCUUGCCUACGAAACUGAUUAACUAGAGUACUGGAGAGGUGGACGGAACUACACGAGUAGAGGUGAAAUUCGUAGAUAUGUGUAGGAAUGCCGAUGAUGAAGAUAGUUCACUGGACAGAAACUGACGCUGAGUGCGAAAGCUAGGGGAGCAAACA
rnacentral:rRNA from 1 species